UACGUAGGGGGCAAGCGUUGUCCGGAUUCAUUGGGCGUAAAGAGCGCGCAGGCGGCUUGGUAAGUCGGAUGUGAAAUCCCGAGGCUCAACCUCGGGUCUGCAUCCGAUACUGCCCGGCUAGAGGUAGGUAGGGGAGAUCGGAAUUCCUGGUGUGAGCGGUGAAAUGCGCAGAUAUCAGGAGGAACACCGGUGGCGAAGGCGGAUCUCUGGGCCUUACCUGACGCUCAGGCGCGAAAGCUAGGGGAGCGAACAGG
rnacentral:rRNA from 1 species